GUCUGCAGUCACACUGCCCUGAACAUACUUGAUCCCAUCUGCUCUCAGAAAUUAAGCGGGGUUAGUACUUGGCUGGGAGACUGCCUGGGAAUCCCAGGUGCUGUAAGCU
rnacentral:rRNA from 1 species